rnacentral:tRNA from 1 species
GGGAUUGUGGCUCAGUGGUAGAGCACUCAUUUAGCAUGUGUGAGGCCCUGGGUUCAAUCCUCAGCACCA